rnacentral:rRNA from 1 species
AUACGGAGGGUGCAAGCGUUAAUCGGAAUUACUGGGCGUAAAGCGCACGCAGGCGGUUUGUUAAGUCAGAUGUGAAAUCCCCGGGCUCAACCUGGGAACUGCAUCUGAUACUGGCAAGCUUGAGUCUCGUAGAGGGGGGUAGAAUUCCAGGUGUAGCGGUGAAAUGCGUAGAGAUCUGGAGGAAUACCGGUGGCGAAGGCGGCCCCCUGGACGAAGACUGACGCUCAGGUGCGAAAGCGUGGGGAGCAAACAGGAUUAGAUACCCUGGUAGUCCACGCCGUAAACGAUGUCGACUUGGAGGUUGUGCCCUUGAGGCGUGGCUUCCGGAGCUAACGCGUUAAGUCGACCGCCUGGGGAGUACGGCCGCAAGGUUAAAACUAAAAUGAAUUGACGGG